rnacentral:rRNA from 1 species
AUUGAACGCUGGCGGCAGGCCUAACACAUGCCAGUCGAACGGUAACACGAGGCAGCUUGCUGCCUCGCUUUCGCGUGGCGCACGUGUGUGUCAUGUCUGUGACCUUGCCUGAUGGAUGGGGAUAACUACUGGAAACGGUAGCUAAUACCGCAUAUAGUCGCAACCCCAAAGUUGGUGACCUUCGGGCGUUUUUCCUUCCGCUUUGACCUGGAUGGAUUAGCCUGUUGGUGGGGUAACGGCUCACCAAGGCGACGAUCCCUAGCUGGUCUGAGAGGAUGACCAGCCACACUGGGACUGAGACACGGUCCAGACUCCUACGGGAGGCAGCAGUAGGGAAUAUUGCACAAUGGGCGAAAGCCUGAUGCAGCCAUGCCGCGUGUAUGAAGAAGGUCUUCGGGUUGUAAAGUACUUUCAGCGGGGAGGAAGGGAGUAAAGUUAAUAUCUGUACUCAUUGACGUUACCCGAAGAAGAAGCGCCGGCUAACUCCGUG